GUUGAAUUCUACUUAUGAGGCAAAGAAGCAUUUGUGGGAACGUUUCUUUGGAUACUUUUCUCCUAUUCUGGAAAAUAAUCAUAUUAUAGCCAUUCCUAUUUUGAAAAAGGUUGUUUCAGUCCAAGAUUGGCAUGUAAUUAACUUUCUUGUGGAAAAAAUUGGGUAUGGCUUUGGCGCCACUUUUACCUCCUCUAUUGUGACCAAUGCACCAUCCACAUCCACAACCAACUCCACUCCUCCAUCCAUCACGGUAAAACAAAGAUGUGGCAAAACCUUCAGAAGAUGGCUGCUUGGCAGAGGCUCCGCCUUUGCCAGAUUGAGGACUUCGAUGAUUGAUUUGCUUCUUAGGGUCUGGCUCUUGAGACUGAUUUGUGUUGAAAUUUGUGUAUAUAUAUACAUGAUGUAGCCUGAGGGGAACAACAUCCGAAAAAAGCUAC
rnacentral:lncRNA from 1 species